UGAUCAUCCUAAGCUUGGACACACUAGCAGAUGUAUGACUUUGUAGGAAAAAAUUUGCAUAGUCUCUUAGAUCUGCCCUCCUGACAAAGGACUGCAUCUCUGAGGAACACCACUUUUCCUACAACACUAGUAACAGCCAAGGCAGGAAGGGGUGGAUCCAGGAGAUCAGACAUUGAUUGCGAUCCCUCUGUCUUACUUAUGCCCUAGUAAUGCAGGAAGAUAAGAGGUGGGGAGAGUCCUAAUGUGAGGUCCUGAUGGGAGGUGUGUGUGAAAGGAGAGUGGAAGUAGGAAUGAAUGAAGAAAACUUGAUUUCUCUCUCCAACUUUAAAGGGGAAUAGGCCAAUGGAAAGAGAAAGAGUAAGUUACAGGGGAUGAGGGAAUGGUGGACACAGACAGAAUAGGAGAGAAUUAAUUCAGAGUGUGUUGGCUGAACCACCUGAAGCUUAAAUAGAUAUCUUCCACCAUAAGCUAUGAAGGUAAAAAUAAACAGACUUAAGAGGAAAAAGAAGAAAAGAAAAGGUACUUACUACAAAAAUUGCAUAUCUUAGGUAGGAUGGUAUUGAAACACUUUCUGUAAAAAUUCUGGAUCUAGUUGAAAUGAAUAAAGUGAAAGAAAGCCACCAAUAAUCAUAUCCCAAUCCCAGUGUAGACUAGGCUUUACUUUUGAAAAGCAGCUGGGGUUAUCUAAACUGCACCCUGAGAGUGGAAAGUGGAUGAACAGAGAGAGAAAAAUCAGACAGAUCAUCACAGAAACAUCUCCACAAAUUACAGCCCAAACCCUAAUUCUGUGGUGAGGGAACAGGCAGAUCUGGGAGGAAGUUAGCAGCUGGGCCUCUGCCAAGAAAUAGAAGUCAAUGCCUCACUUCCCCUCCUCUGAGGAAGCAUCAUGGAAUGGGUGUUUGGGCCAAUAUCAAAGGCCAGGUCAAACACGAGUGCACAAAGUAAAUAUGGACAUUUCCAGGUCUUAGGGGACACCUUCAAUGUCCUUGUUGUAAAUUAGAGAGGCGUCAUCCCUCCCCUCAGCCAGUUAGGACUUGGGGGACCAUCUUUAACCUGAGGCUGUAUAUGUGGGGCUCUGUGCUCAGGUGAAAAAAAACAGAAAAAAAGUUAGUAUGUCACCCACUGUAGCCCAAGGGCCACACAAUUUCAUCAGAGCCCCUGGAGAGCACCCCCAAAGACCUUCCUCUUCUGAAGCAAAGGAUAAUUUCAACUGUAUUCAUGGGCAGGUCCAAGGAAUCCUUCCUGAGGAAAUGGCAGUCAGCUGAAUGUUACUCAGCCUUACAGAGGAAGCAAAUUAUGACACAUACUACAACAUGGAUAAACCUUGAGGACAUUAUCCUAAGAGAAAUGGGCCAGUGACAAAAGGAUAAAUGCUGUAAGACCCCACUUAUAUGAGGUGCACAGAGGAAAGGCCAUAUGAGCACACAGAGGGAAGGUGGCCGUCCACAAGCCAAGAGAAGAGGGCUCAAAAUGAAACCAAUCCACCUGGAGCCUGGAUCUGGGGCUUUUAGCGUAUAUAACUCUGAGAAAAUAAACUUGUGUUGGUUAGACCGCCUAGUGUUUCAUAUUUUGUUACAGCAUCCUGAGCUGACUAAUUCAUCUCAUAUGGGCACAUUCCUUGUUAGGAUUCUCUUACAGAGAAUCUCUUUCCAAGAUGAAAUUAAAGGGAAGUGAAUUCUCUCUUCAUUUCUUAAAAAUCACAAUGUAUAUC
rnacentral:lncRNA from 1 species